CCGUAAGAUUCGAUUUGAUGAAAAAUCAUGAAAAAAAAUUUGAUAGUUUUUGAAACUAAACAAGGCCUUAAGUUUUUUAUUCAAAGUCGACGGAGAGCAGAGCUGUCUCAGGUAUCUACUGCGCAAUAGCGUGGUUGCUGCGCAACAGUGUGUGGUUGCCUCGUCCGGUCUUCGAGGUAGAGCCGUGCACACUAGGCGGAGUCCGCUACAGGCUAUCAUGCUUUCUUCCUGGCAGAGGCGGGAAAGUGCAGUACCUUGGGGCCUUUUUUUUUUCCUUUUUUGUCACCACAGACACAUUGCCAUUUUUGUUUUUUCAAAACUCCUAACGCCGCGUCCACACCUGGGGAGGCUCGAGCGCCCGCAAGGCUAGCUCUUUGGGCGGCGGCCGGCCGUGGGCGCGCGCUUGGCUCUGAGGUGGGAGCUAGCGGGCGGCGCGGGGGCAGGCGCGCACGGCAG
rnacentral:lncRNA from 1 species